GAUGAACGCUGGCGGCGUGCCUAAUACAUGCAAGUCGAGCGAACAGACGAGGAGCUUGCUCCCCUGACGUUAGCGGCGGACGGGUGAGUAACACGUGGAUAACCUACCUAUAAGACUGGGAUAACUUCGGGAAACCGGAGCUAAUACCGGAUAAUAUAUUGAACCGCAUGGUUCAAUAGUGAAAGACGGUUUUGCUGUCACUUAUAGAUGGAUCCGCGCCGCAUUAGCUAGUUGGUAAGGUAACGGCUUACCAAGGCGACGAUGCGUAGCCGACCUGAGAGGGUGAUCGGCCACACUGGAACUGAGCCACGGUCCAGACUCCUACGGGAGGCAGCAGUAGGGAAUCUUCCGCAAUGGGCGAAAGCCUGACGCAGCAACGCCGCGUGAGUGAUGAAGGUCUUCGGAUCGUAAAACUCUGUUAUUAGGGAAGAACAAAUGUGUAAGUAACUAUGCACGUCUUGACGGUACCUAAUCAGAAAGCCACGGCUAACUACGUG
rnacentral:rRNA from 1 species